UGCAUAUCAAUAAGCGGAGGAAAAGAAACCAACAGGGAUUGCCUUAGUAGCGGCGAGUGAAGCGGCAAAAGCUCAAAUUUGAAAUCUGGCACUUUCAGUGUCCGAGUUGUAAUUUGAAGAAGGUAUCUUUGGGUCUGGCUCUUGUCUAUGUUUCUUGGAACAGAACGUCACAGAGGGUGAGAAUCCCGUGCGAUGAGAUGUCCCAGACCUAUGUAAAGUUCCUUCGAAGAGUCGAGUUGUUUGGGAAUGCAGCUCUAAGUGGGUGGUAAAUUCCAUCUAAAGCUAAAUAUUGGCGAGAGACCGAUAGCGAACAAGUACAGUGAUGGAAAGAUGAAAAGAACUUUGAAAAGAGAGUGAAAAAGUACGUGAAAUUGUUGAAAGGGAAGGGCUUGAGAUCAGACUUGGUAUUUUGUAUGUUACUCUCUCGGGGGUGGCCUCUACAGUUUACCGGGCCAGCAUCAGUUUGAGCGGUAGGAUAAGUGCAAAGAAAUGUGGCACUGCUUCGGUAGUGUGUUAUAGUCUUUGUCGAUACUGCCAGCUUAGACUGAGGACUGCGGCUUCGGCCUAGGAUGUUGGCAUAAUGAUCUUAAGUCGCCCGUCUUGAAACCACGGA
rnacentral:rRNA from 1 species